rnacentral:misc_RNA from 1 species
GAUGAAGAACGCAGCGAAAUGCGACACGUAAUGUGAAUUGCAGAAUUCAGUGAAUCAUCGAGUCUUUGAACGCACAUUGCGCCCCCUGGUAUUCCGGGGGGCAUGCCUGUCCGAGCGUCAUUGCUGCCCUCAAGCACGGCUUGUGUGUUGGGCCUCCGUCCUCCUCCCGGGGGACGGGCCCGAAAGGCAGCGGCGGCACCGCGUCCGGUCCUCGAGCGUAUGGGGCUUCGUCACCCGCUCUUGUAGGCCCGGCCGGCGCUUGCCGACACAUCAAUCUUUUUUCCAGGUUGACCUCGGAUCAGGUAGGGAUACCCGCUGAACUUAAGCAUAUCAAUAAGCGGAGGA